rnacentral:rRNA from 1 species
UAAGUACGGAGGGUGCGAGCGUUAAUACGGUAAUUACUGGGACGUAAAGACGCAUGCAGGCGGCCUGUUAAGUCAGAUGUAGAAAGGCCCGGGGACUUUAACCCGUACGGUAAGUUGCUAUUUAGUAAACGUGGCGAGGCUAGAGUCUUGUAGAGGGGGGUAGGAAUUUCAGGUGUAGCGGUGAAAUGCGUAGAGAUCUGAAGGAAUACCAGUGGCGAAGGCGGCCCCCUGGACAAAGACUGACGCUCAGAUGCGAAAGCGUGGGGAGCAAACAGGAUUAGAUACCCUGGUAG